rnacentral:ncRNA from 1 species
GCAAAGACCUAGAACGGAAAGAGUAACAGAAUAAGAAUCUGACAGAGAGAGAACGUCACCGGCUGAAAGCGUUCUUAAGAGGAAUAUCUGUGAAGUGCCUCCGGGAGUUGACUGGGCGAAGGAUUUAUCGGAAUCUGGUAGUGCAGUACGUGGAUACGCGUUAAGUAUGAAAAGUGGAGAUUGGUGUCUGCAUAAGAUCAUAAGACAGAAUCUCUAAAAGAGUGGAACCGCGGAUAUACUUCGUCUCUUAU